CGUGUAGGCUGCCCCGCAAGUCGGAUGUGAAAGCCCUGGGCUCAACCUAGGAAGUGCAUUCGAAACUGCGGGGCUGGAGUCCUGGAGAGGAAGGCGGAAUUCUCGGUGUAGAGGUGAAAUUCGUAGAUAUCGAGAGGAACACCGGUGGCGAAGGCGGCCUUCUGGACAGUGACUGACGCUGAGACGCGAAAGCGUGGGGAGCAAACA
rnacentral:rRNA from 1 species